UACAGAGGGGGCCAGCGUUAUUCGGAAUUACUGGGCGUAAAGGGCUCGUAGGCGGCCAACUAAGUCAGACGUGAAAUCCCUCGGCUUAACCGGGGAACUGCGUCUGAUACUGGAUGGCUUGAGAUUGGGAGAGGGAUGCGGAAUUCCAGGUGUAGCGGUGAAAUGCGUAGAUAUCUGGAGGAACACCGGUGGCGAAGGCGGCAUCCUGGACCAACACUGACGCUGAGUGAGCGAAAGCCAGGGGAGCAAACGGG
rnacentral:rRNA from 1 species